GGGGACGACAUGGCUUCGACGCUGGUGGCGAACCCUUGGGUGCAUGUCGAGAUGGCAGCCAAUCUCGUUAAUCCAAAGCUGCAACGCAAUAGUCGC
rnacentral:tmRNA from 1 species